GGAGCGGUGGCGGCAGGAACUUUAGCUUCAAGGCGCGGUCGCCAGAUGUCAGUGGAAGCCGAGGUUACGACGAGCUGGGGGCGUCUGUGUCGCGGCGCGCCGGCCAGGGCGGCGUCCCUCUCUGCCUCCUCGGCGGGCCGCUCGGCGUCCUCUACCACCAGCUGGGCCACCUGACGGACGGCGGCGGAGAGCAGCUCGUGCUCCUCGGCCAGCUGCUGACGCGAGGUGAGACGGCGAGCCUGCUCGGCGGCGUCCAGCUCCUGACAGUGAGGGAUACGCAUGAGGGUCAGGCACAGCAGAAACCCCUGUAACCCACCAAACUCGUGACCGCAUAGUCACAGGUCACAUAAAUCUCAGAAACACCAGCGGAAGCACAGCAGCAGUGAAUUCCUGCUGGUCAGAUCACGUCGUAUGGUGAGGCCGUUUCGAAUGCAUCCAGGGACAACUGAACUGUUCCGAAGUUAUCAUUAAGUCGACAUAUCUGCUAGGUUGUGAGGCAAAUAAGUGAAUGCAGAUCGAUGGGAUGUUUUCGUUAGAUCGCGGUCACUCCCGACACAGACCAGCCGGGCAGGCAAAUAACGGCCAAACCGACAUCAAACACGCAUGUUAACAGUGUCGGUGCCCUCUGAUGAAGAAACAAGCCGCUUGUUAUUUAUGUAAAACACCAGUUAUACAGACAUGCAGAAAAAACG